rnacentral:rRNA from 1 species
CACACCGCCCGUCACACCAUGGGAGUUGGUCUUACCCGACGGCGCUGCGCCAACCGCAAGGAGGCAGGCGACCACGGCAGGGUCAGCGACUGGGGUG